GGGGGUAUAGCUCAGUUGGGAGAGCACCUGCCUUGCACGCAGGGGGUCAAGAGUUCGAAGCUCUUUAUCUCCACCA
rnacentral:tRNA from 1 species